UCAGAUUCAAAUUGAAUGAUUCAAAUUCAAAUAUAAAGAAUUCAGAUUCGCUCCCUAGUGGCACAAAGUUUAUCCCAUAUCAGGGCUAUUAUUUU